GAUGAACGCUGGCGGCGUGCCUAAUACAUGCAAGUCGAACGAGGUGCUUUUGUAGCAAUACGAGAGUAUCCUAGUGGCGAACGGGUGAGUAACGCGUGGAUGACCUGCCCCAAAGUGUGGGAUAACAGUCCAAAAGGAUUGCUAAUACCUCAUGUGGUUAUUGGUUUUAGAAAGCGAUAACUAAAGCAGCAAUGCGCUUUGGGAGGGAUCUGCGUCCCAUCAGCUAGUUGGUGAGGUAACGGCUCACCAAGGCGACGACGGGUAGGGGACCUGAGAGGGUGGCCCCCCACAAUGGAACUGAAACACGGUCCAUACACCUACGGGUGGCAGCAGUAGGGAAUAUUGCUCAAUGGGCGAAAGCCUGAAGCAGCAACGCCGCGUGUGCGAUGAAGGCCUU
rnacentral:rRNA from 1 species